UUACCGGUCUACGCUGCGGCUCCUCCAACUCUCACUGCUUUUAACCCCAACAACAACAACUAUACAUACAAAAAAGUGCCACUUCAACAAAGUGACACGAGUACAGCAGUUAGAAGAGGAAAUUUCGAAAUUAAUAAUUUUGCGAAACUUAGAGAUAGACGACGAGGAAGAAGGGAAAUGUCGGAAAGUUCUUUAUUCGUGGAUCUGGUGAACUCUUGGUUUGGGAGUCUAACACUCAAUCUCUUGUGUUACUCUACAGUAUUCAUUCCUGGCUACAUCCUUAUUCAGUAUUUCAAAAAAUCAAAAUACAUAGAAAGAGCAGGUUCUGGCCUCAUUUCCAAACUCAUUACAUCUUGUGUUUAUGGUCAAAAUUAUGAAAAAUUAAUGACAACAGAUUUAGCUUCAUCAAAAACACUUCCAGCAGAGAGAAGCACAACUUACAGAUGUUUCCAGAUAGCCUUCUGCUUUGUGGGUCUUCAGGCAUCGUAUCUUACGUGGGGUGUUUUGCAAGAAAAAAUUAUGACAAAGGUAAGAUGAGAUGUUUCUGUAAUGUAAUUACAUACCUCCGAGUAAUUAUUUUAAUUUGCUCAACAUUUUUAUAGUUUUUUUAAUUACCUGUUUAUAAUUGCCAACUAUAUUAGUAUGCUAUAUCAACUCAUAGCUCAGUUGCUAGUGCUGUCAGCUCACACAUGGAGGUCCAUGAUUCGAUUCCUGGUACGGGUGGAAAUAUUAGGAUGCGUUUCCUUAAGACAUCUGCUGUCCCUGUUCACUGACACCUGCUGUCCCUGUUCACCGACACCUGCUGUCCCUGUUCGCCCACACCUGCUGUCCCUGUUUGCCUAGCAGUAGAUAGGCACUUGGGUGUUAGCCUUCUGGUGUGGGUUGCAUCCUGGGGACAAAAUAGCUCUAAUUUGAACAUUAAAAUGGUAUAAAAUACCGACAGGUUGUUAGGUAAGACACAUAUGCAACAGUUAGGUAUCUUUAUUGUGAAACGUUUCGCCUACACAGUAGGCUUCUUCAGUCAAGUACAGAAAAGUUGAUAGAAGCAGAAGAUACUUGAAGACGAUGUAAUCAGUCCAUCACCCUUAAAGUUUUGAGGUGGUCAGUCCCUCAGUCUGGAGAAGAGCAUUGUUCCAUAGUAUGAAGCAAUAUGGAGAAGAAGUGACAGGAUGGAGCUUUUUAUAGCGCCAAGAGGUGAGACGUAGGCCACUAGGAGAGGUAAGAACUCAGAUGUUGAGAGGUCAGGUCCCUCUCAAAUCCAGCCCCUCUCACUAGUGGAAGUUGUCGAAGUUGAUUGCAGGUCUGUACCAAGAUACCCUUGUGUUGCAGUGUCUGACAGAUUGAACAUUAAAAUGGUAUAAAAUACCGACAGGUUGUUAGGUAAGACAUAUGCAACAGUUAGGUAUCUUUAUUGUGAAACGUUUCGCCUACACAGUAGGCUUCUUCAGUCAAGUACAGAAAAGUUGAUAGAAGCAGAAGAUACUUGAAGACGAUGUAAUCAGUCCAUCACCCUUAAAGUUUUGAGGUGGUCAGUCCCUCAGUCUGGAGAAGAGCAUUGUUCCAUAGUAUGAAACAAUAUGGAGAAGAAGUGACAGGAUGGAGCUUUUUAUAGCGCCAAAAGGUGAGACGUAGGCCACUAGGAGAGGUAAGAACUCAGAUGUUGAGAGGUCAGGUCCCUCUCAAAUCCAGCCCCUCUCACUAGUGGAAGUUGUCGAAGUUGAUUGCAGGUCUGUACCAAGAUACCCUUGUGUUGCAGUGUCUGACAGAUUGAACAUUAAAAUGGUAUAAAAUACCGACAGGUUGUUAGGUAAGACACAUAUGCAACAGUUAGGUAUCUUUAUUGUGAAACGU